UUAUCCAAAAUCAAAAGAAUUUAUCAAAAUGGCUAGGGCCAAACGGACCUGACCCAAAUAAAAGGCCAUUUAAAAUUCUUGGCCCAAAAUACUAAAAAAGAAAUAAAAUGAAAAAGACAAAAUAAAAUAAUGGUUGAAUUAGGCAACCAGAUUUGCUUUUGUUGCUUCUCUCUCUUCUUGUUCGAUAUACUCUAGAACCUUCAUAGCUGCGCUUGUGAAAAUGAUUAAAUUGACUUUGAUUCACGCCGAUGGUGUCACUUUCCGAUGGUAUCAUCCUUCUCAGCUAAAUCGAGGGAUGAUGAGGCUCUUGCAACCCCUUUUAUAAGCCGCCAUUAAUGUUGACCAAGUUCUGAGUAUUAGGUCAGACCCACUUCUGUGACGCGUGGCUGAUAGUCAUUUCAGCAUUAUCUCCGAGUUUCCAGGGUGAGCAUGGCCGUUCGCUACCUUGAAGACUUCUCUAUCUUUAUGUCCUAUUCUAUUCAGAGACAUAGACAAUUAUGUAUUUUUAUUCUAGACUUGUAUUAUUUCCUAUUUAGAUGCUCUUGUAUUAUUCAGACUAGAUCCUGGGGGUAUUAUUAUUA